rnacentral:rRNA from 1 species
AAUGAACGCUGGCGGCAGGCCUAAAACAUGCAAGUCGAGCGCCCUAGCAAUAGGGAGCGGCGCACGGGUGAGUAACACGUGGGAAUAUGCCUUUUGGUACGGAACAACCUCGGGAAACUGAGGCUAAUACCGUAUGGUCCCUUCGGGGUAAAGAUUUAUCGCCAAAAGAGUAGCCCGCGUUGGAUUAGCUAGUUGGUAAGGUAACGGCUUACCAAGGCGACGAUCCAUAGCUGGUCUGAGAGGACGAUCAGCCACACUGGGACUGAGACACGGCCCAGACUCCUACGGGAGGCAGCAGUUAGGAAUAUUGGACAAUGGGCGCAAGCCUGAUCCAGCCAUGCCGCGUGAGUGAUGAAGGCCUUCGGUUGUUAAG